rnacentral:lncRNA from 1 species
UACUGAAAGACAGUGUAUACAUUGGUUUGCCAGAUUUCGUUUUGGCGAUUUUACAUUAGAAGAUAUCCCACGAUCUGCACGUCCAGUAGAACAUACGAUCGAUCUUAAGACCCUUGUCAACUACAAUCCACUUAUCACAAUACGUGAAAUUUCAGAGAAGCUCAAUGUAUCGCAAAGAUUAAUUAGACAAAAAUUAAAAAAGCUGGGCUACGUCAAGAAACUCAAUGAAUGGACCUUAGAAGAGAAUCUUAAUUCCAAAGAAGAUACAGAUUGAAAUAAUAUACUUAAGAAUCAUCUGUUCAAAUACAAGAGUACAAAUAUACACACAAAAUGCAGCGACCAUUCAGAAUAA